UACGAAGGGGACUAGCGUUGUUCGGAAUCACUGGGCGUAAAGCGCACGUAGGCGGAUUCGUAAGUCAGGGGUGAAAUCCCGGGGCUCAACCUCGGAACUGCCUUUGAUACUGCGGGUCUUGAGUCCGAUAGAGGUGGGUGGAAUUCCUAGUGUAGAGGUGAAAUUCGUAGAUAUUAGGAAGAACACCGGUGGCGAAGGCGGCCCACUGGAUCGGUACUGACGCUGAGGUGCGAAAGCGUGGGGAUCAAACAGG
rnacentral:rRNA from 1 species